rnacentral:ribozyme from 13 species
ACCCAAAAACAAACUCAAAUCUGUAAAUCAUAAAGAACAAUUAGGAGGGGGAGAGGGAGGAGGACCCUCUUCUUCGUCCCCCUUUUCUUUCUCUGGGUCUUCUGGUUCUUCUUCCAUGUCUUUCUCUUCUUCUUUCCCUUCUUCUUCCCCACCGGCUCGGCCAGAACAUUUUCAGAACUUAAUUUUGGAUAUGAUUAACCCAGAGAGGGAGAAGAGGCCGACCGCGGAGGAGAUAUUAGAGAGAACAAAGGGAGAGUAAAACGAAGAAGAGUUCUGGAGUUGGAGAGGCGAUGGGUUUCUCUUGUUCCUCUUCUCCAUUGUAAAAUAGUUAAUGUGAAUAAAAG